UUUAAUUCUACUCCCAAGCCGUAGAAUGGAUGACUAGGUUUUAGACACCGACGAAGGGCGUGGCAAGCUGCGAAAAGGAGGAGGUAGGCGCACGCGGCCGUUGAUCUCCUCAUGCCUGAAUGCGUGAUGCCUGUCCGAAAGGACAGAUUCCUCGCAAGAGGAAGGGGAACCUAGGGAAGUAAAACAUUUUAGUACCUAGAGGAAAAGAAAUCAAUCGAGAUUCCCUGAGUAGGGGCGACCGAAAGGGGAGGAGGGCAAAUCGAAUCUUCGCAAGAAGAGAUGUGAUGCAAUCGUAAGAAGCUAACUUUGGAGCGAAGUCCACUGGAAUGUGGCACCGUAGAGAGUGACAGUCUCGUAGCUUCAAAAGUUAGCUUUGGAUUGCAAAGAGUACCAGGGGUUGAGAUUCUCCUGGGAAGAUAGGGGGCACGAACCUCUAACCCUAAAUAUGUCUAAAAUCCGAUAGCGCAUAGUAGCGCGAGCGAACGUUGAAAAGCGCUCUCGAAGAGAGGGUGAAAAGAGCCUGAAAUUCUACGGCUAUAGUUGGUGCGGCUCUACGGAGUUGCACCAUCCUUUGUGGAUAAAGGGCCGGGGAGUUUGGGUACAUGGCAAGGCUAACCUCUCAUGGGAAGCCGCAGCGAAAGCGAGUCUGAAAGGGCGUUAAGUCAUGUGCCCAAGACCCGAUGCCGAGUGAUCUAUACCCAAGCAAGACGAAGCCGGGCUUUAUGCCUGGUGGAGGUCUGACCGGGUGAGGUGUCUCCUCUCCGUUGACUUGGGUAUAGGGGCGAAAAACCAAUCGUACUCGGUAGUAGCUGGUUCUCCUCGAAAUGUCCCACAGGACAGUCACUACGAUGGUUCUCAUACGGUAAAGUCACUGAUAGGAUGUGCAUGCACCGAAAGGUGCAGCCUUCCUGUCAAACUCAGAAUGUAUGAGAGACUAUAUCGUAGUGAUCGGGUGUCUGGCGUAAAGUUGGACACCGAGAAGAGAACAAUCUAGACAUGAGUUAAGGCCCCUAAAUGUGCACUAAGUACACGCAAAAAGUGUGGUUAUCAGAGACAACUGGGAGGUAGGCUCAGAAGUGGCCAUCCUCUAAGGAGUGUGUUACAACUCACCAGUCUAGAUAAUCACACUUGAAGACGGACGGGGUUAAGUGCACUGCCGAAACUCAUGACCUAACGAGAAGUUAGGUGGUAGAGGAGCGUGCAUGUGGGCUAGAAGGUAAUGCGUGAGCAUUACUGGACCUGCAUGCAUUGAGAAUCCCGGUGGGAGUAGCAAAUAGAAGGGUGAGAAUCCCUUCCGCCGAAUGUGAUAGUGUUCCCUCCUCAAGUUUAUCUAGGAGGGGUUAGCCGGUCCUAAGGCGUAUUUCGAAAGGAAUACGCCGAAAAGGGAAUCCGGUUAAUAUUCCGGAGCCUCUAUGUUGUUAUUCUUUUCUUCGGGUAGGAAUAGGCUCCUACAAAUUGCCGUUUGUAGUACUGCAUGAAGAAGAUGGAGAAGCGUAAUGCUGAGAAGUCUUCGUAGUGCAGUAGUGCCGCAAGGCAUGAGCUGAGUUCCUGCUUCAAUGAAAGAGAAAAGAUAAUGCAACAUAGAGACCGUAAUAAAAACCAUCACAGGUUCACUGGCGGAAGAAGCUAAGGCGAGGGAUUUAAUCCUGCCAAGGGAAAUCGGCAAAUUGGUCCCGUAUGUUCGCUAGAAGGGAUCCCUAAACUGGUGAUGAGCUAGUUUAGGGCGCAGUGACAAGGGGGGCUUGACUGUUUAUUAAAAGCAUAGCCGACCGCUAGAGGGCAACCUUUUGUACGGUCGGUGACGCCUGCCCAGCGCAGUUACCCGAAAGGUCAGUCCAAUGGCCAUAAGGGUCUGCUAGCGGCGGAGGUAAUUCCUGACCUUCGUAAACAAGCAUAAUACAUUGCCAUCUGAUUGGUGGCUUGUGAACGGCGUAACGAGGUCCCCACUGUCCCUGGCAGGAAACCCGCGAAACUAUCGUCCUGGUGCAAAGACCAGGGACCCCCACUUGCUCGACAAGACCCCGAGAACUUUACUGCAGCCUGCUGUUGAUACGUUUGGAUUUGCUACAUAGCGUAGGCAGGAGGCGUUAUGCUUAGCAUUUCGGUGCUAAGAUAGCCGCCAAUGUAACACUGCCUAGCGAAUCCAGCGUGUCUAACCUAUAUGGGACAGCAUCAGGUGGGCAGUUUUGCUGGGGUGGCAAUCCCGCGAAAAGAUAACACGGGAGUCCUAAGGUCAGCUUGGACUGUAUAGAAAUCAGUCCUAAAGUACAAGCGCAAAAGCUGGCCUGACUGGACACUCCAAAUCAAGGUGUCCAGAAGGGAAACCUUGGGCUAGCGAACAGAUAGCUAGUCUUCGUGACUGCUAUCUAUGACAGAAAAGCUACCUCGGGCGUAAGAGAGUCGUGGCUGGCGAAAGUUCACAUCGACCUAGCCGUUUGCUCCACAGAUUUUGGCUCUCCUCAUCCUGGCUGUGCAGAAGCAGCCAAGGGUACAGGUGCCCACUGGUCAAAGAGGAUCGUGAGCUGAGUUUAGGCCGCUGAGAAGCAGGCCGGUUCCUGAGUGGUGGGGGUAGAACACCUGAGCGUAAGACUUGGCCAGUACGAAAGGAACGACAAGUCGGCGCCUCUAGUGAGCGGUUAUUCGGCAGAGUACGCCGCGUAGCCACGCGCCAAGGGAUAAGAGCUGAAGGCAUCUAAGCUCGAAGCCCAACGCAAAAAGGUGUAGGGCUGAGGUAGAAGACCUCGUUGAUAGAAUCGGUGUGUAAGCAUCGAGACGAAAGUCGAGAUGUUGAGCACACGAUUACUAAUCGCCCGAAUUAGAAUUAAA
rnacentral:rRNA from 1 species